AAGUUGUAACAAGGCGGAAAGAUCAUUAACACGUAUCCAAACGUUAAAACCCGCCACCCCGUGAACAUUCAUCCUGCUCUUGUAACCCGCGAAGCUUGCGAUCUCUGGUAAAUCAUAGCCCUGAAGCGGUAAGGCCUUGUUUCCCCAAACAGUCAGUGUCUGAAAGUGUCAUUGAUUGUGCAAGGAAAACGCUUCACGAUUCUUGUAGACCGCAUCUCGCGAGCAGGAGCUAGGCCAAAGGGUCCUUACAACCCCACAGUUUAAUGCGAAGCUCAAUGUAAUACAUUGGGUCAAAAACCGCGAUGAAGAACGCAGC
rnacentral:misc_RNA from 1 species